rnacentral:rRNA from 1 species
CCUACGGGAGGCUGCAGUAAGGAAUAUUGGUCAAUGGACGCAAGUCUGAACCAGCCAUGCCGCGUGGAGGAUGAAGGUCCUCUGGAUUGUAAACUUCUUUUAUUUGGGAAGAAACUCCCGAUUUCCAUCGGGAUUGACGGUACCAGAUGAAUAAGCACCGGCUAACUCCGUGCCCGCAGCCGCGGUAAUACGGAGGGUGCAGGCGUUAUCCGGUUUCACUGGGGUUAAAGGGGGCAUGUGAGUCAGGGUAGAAAUCUCCGGGCUUAACCCGGAAACUGCCAUUGAUACUAUUUGUCUUGAAUACUCUGGAGGUGAGCGGAAUAUGUCAUGUAGCGGUGAAAUGCUUAGAGAUGACAUAGAACACCCAUUGCGAAGGCAGCUCACUACGGAAAUAUUGACGCUGAGGCACGAAAGCGUGGGGAUCAAACAGGAUUAGAUACCCGAGUAGUC